GUGCCAGCAGCCGCGGUAAUACGAAGGGUGCGAGCGUUAUUCGGAAUCACUGGGCGUAAAGGGUGUGUAGACGGUAUAUUAAGUUCGUCGUUAAAGGCUCCGGCCUAACCGGAGUAUUGCGAUGAAAACUGGUAAGCUAGAGGGUGAGAGAGAGAAGUGGAAUUCCCGGAGUAGCGGUAAAAUGCGUGGAUCUCGGGAGGAACACCAAUGGCGAAGGCAGCUUCUUGGCUCAUUCCUGACGUUGAGGCACGAAAGCGUGGGGAGCAAACAGGAUUAGAAACCCCUGUAGUCC
rnacentral:rRNA from 1 species